rnacentral:rRNA from 1 species
UACAGAGGGUGCGAGCGUUGUCCGGAAUCACUGGGCGUAAAGGGCGCGUAGGUGGUGGGGUAAGCGUGUGGUGAAAGCUCGGGGCUCAACCCCGAGUCGGCCGUGCGAACUGCUCCACUUGAGCAUGCGAGAGGCAGGCGGAAUUCCGGGUGUAGCGGUGGAAUGCGUAGAGAUCCGGAAGAACACCGGUGGCGAAGGCGGCCUGCUGGCGCAGUGGCUGACACUGAGGCGCGACAGCGUGGGGAGCAAACAGG